rnacentral:rRNA from 1 species
GAUGAACGCUGGCGGCGUGCCUAAUACAUGCAAGUCGAGCGAAGCGGGGACGGGUGAGUAACACGUGGAUAACCUCCUAUAAGACUGGGAUAACGUAGGGAAACAGGAGCUAAACAGGAUACGUAUAGAUGGAUCCGCGCUGCAUUAGCUAGUUGGUACGGUAACGCCGUACCAAGGCAACGAUGCAUAGCCGACCAGAGAGGGUGAUCUGCCACACUGGAACUGAGCCACGGUCCAGCCUCCUACGGGAGGCAGCCUUUGGGAAUCUUCCGCAAUGGGCGAAAGCCUGACGCAGCAACGCCGCUUGAGUGAUGAAGUUCUUCGGAUCGUAAACCUCUUUUAUUAGGGAAGCGGUACCUAAUCAGAAAGCCCCGGCUAACUCCGUGCCAGCAGCCGCGGUAAUUC